AUGUUGUAUAAAAAGCAUGUUCAAACUUUGGCAGGUAUCAUUCAAUUCGAGCUAUUUGUAAAAGCAACUUCUAACUCACCUACAAGCAAGUACUCAAAACUAUCAAGAUGUUCAAAUUGAUUUUUGCCGUCAUUUUCUUCUUUGCUGUUGCAUCAAACGCCGUACCAGUAGCCAAGCCACAGUUCAUUUCAGGUGUUUAUCCAAGUGUUUAUUCAUCUGGUAUUCUUCCUGUGGUGUCUCAUGCUUCUUAUGCACCUGUAGCUACCUCUCAUGUUGUUGCAUCGCCUCUGUACAGCUAUCCAUCCCUUUAUAGUUCAUACGGCGGACUUGGUUACACUACAUACUUCUAAAUGGCCGAUUGAUCAAAGUUUCGAAUUAUACAGACCAAUUUAAAUCAUUUUAUCGUGUAAUACAAAAGAAAUGAAAUAAAUCUUCCUUUUAAGCAAAUUCAAAA